rnacentral:lncRNA from 1 species
GUUUCUCUUUUGAGUUGCUAUAAAGUACAGACGAUUCUACCAACCUUGACACAAACGCCCAGCUGCCCCCAGUUCAGUGCCACAGAGAAAAGCCUUGCAGAACAGGUUGAGUUUGUGGAUGGGCAUGGGGUAGAAGGUAUCAUCUCUUCUCUAUCAAUGACUUGGGUGAUACUUCUGGCAACAAAACAGACAGUUCUCGGCCUCUGUGUUUUCAUUGUCCAACUGAAGAUUAGACAAGAGGCAGCAUGGGGUGGUGGAUAAAUCGUGGACCAGGAUUGAAGCGAAGAUCUGCUCAUCUGGGACACUCACCAGACGGAGUCUUGCUCUGUCGCCCAGGCUGGAGUACAGAAGUACAGUGGCGCGAUCUGCAACCUCCGUUUCCUGGGUUCAAGCAAUUCCCCUGUCUCAGCCUCCCGAGUAGCUGGGACUACAGACCCAUGCCAUCAUACCCAGAUAAUUUUUGUAUUUUUAGUAGAGACAAGGUUUCACCAUAUCAGUCAGGCUGGUCUCGAACUCCUGACCUCAGGUGAUCCCCCUGCCUUGGCCUCCCAAAGUGCUGGGAUGACAGGCGUAAGCCACCUCGCCUGGCCAGUUUAUCAAUUUCGUUAAGCUUUCCAAAUAAUCAAAUGUGUUGGUCCUGUUGAUUUUUCUCUUUCAUAUGUUCGCUUUCUAUUUUAUUAAUAUCUAUGUUUUUCUGUAUUCUUUCCAUUUAUUUACCUUCUUUUUGUAAUUAUCUGAGAUGAAUAAAUCUUGGCUUGGUAAUUAUAUAUAGAAUUACUAAGCUGAGAUUCAGAGAAGAGGGAUGAACCUGGAACUUGGAGCCACUUUUGCCCAGGAGAUAAUUUAUAUAUACAUGUAUAUAUAUUCAGUGUAUGUACACAUAAAUGAGGGCGGUUGGCUCUAAGCAACAAACACUCACCUCUGCAUAACUUAAGCACAAAAUAGCCACUCACAGAAUGGAAGGAAGGGCUGAAGAACCAGGUUUCAAAGAGAAUAGGUGCGAGGGCAGGCCAGGGAUCUGGGAAGCAGAAACUACUAUUUUUUUAUUGCUCUGUUCAAAAGUCAAAUUCCAAGAAGUGAGCAUCUGAUCUGUGUCAAGUGCCCACCUCUUGGCUAGGAGCAGGUAGGGCAGACUGCAUGCAGUGAGAAAGACUGGUUCCUCUGAAGCAAAUUCAGAGGCUAUUUAUCAGAAGAUUUGGGAAUGAAUAAUGGGCAGACAAAAAUAACAAAUGUUCACUGUAGAGAGAGAAAAAGAAAUACAGCAGGAGAGACACAGGAGCAAGGAAGCAGAAGAGAAAGAAAGAAAAGUGGAGAGAAAUUGGUAAAAUGAGGUGGGGUGGUUUGGAUGUGUGAGCCAUCCGAAAUGAGAGAAUGUGCCAACCAUCAAGAAAAAUCAUUGAAGCUCUUCCCCUAUCCAGGGACACAUAUGACUUUUGUCAGUCUUCAUGGGCCCCUUCCUCCAUUAAAAAUACUAAAAAUUGGCUGGGCGCAGUGGCUCAUGCCUGUAAUCCCUGCACUUUGGGAGGCCGAGGCGGGUGGAUCACGAGGUCAGGAGGUUGAGACCAUCCUGGCUAACAUGGUGAAGCCCCGUCUCUACUAAAAAUACAAAAAAUUAGCCGGAUGUGGUGGCAGGCGCCUGUAGCCCCAGCUACCUGGGAGGCUGAGGCAGGAGAAUGGCAUGAACCCGGGAGGCGGAGCUGCAGUGAGCCGAGAUCGCACCACUGCACUCCAGCCUGGGCGACGGAGCAAGACUCCGUCUCAAAAAAAAGAAAAAUUAAAAAUCAUAUUUUAUGACGGUAUUGGUAUAAAGACAAAUGUAAUUCAGACUGGAUUUAUUGUUAUGUAUCAUGAUUAUUAUAUUCAUGUUUUUCUUCUGAUCUUAAAAGGAAUCAAAAUUAAGACAUUUUUAUGAACCCCUAAAAGUAUCGUGGGCCCUAGAUGCUCUGCCUACUCCUUCUUCUCUUCUGUAAGAUGCAGCUUGCAUUGGCAUUUGCUGCCGUCUCCAUGCACGUCAGUCCAUCUUCCAGCUGCCAGCACCCAAAGCACUUUGCCCGAGAGCUCUCUCUGGCUGCUGGAGGCAGCUAUUUGACAUCCUUAUCCCACAGCUCUUAAACAAUAGGUAAUGGGAGAUGGUAUUUAAAUACCCCAAAUCCUUACCCCUCAGAGGCACAUGUUCUUCAUCAACUCCCAGAGGACCUAAGCAAGAUUAACCUCUAGUCCCCCAGUGUGGUAACUUGGUUAGUAUGAACUUCUGUUGGCUACUUUCCCUUUCCUGUUUCACUCCUCCACUGCCCUGCCAGUGGUUUCCGGGAUCUCCUCCCCUCAAAAAAACAUUCACACUCAAAUCCUUGUCUCAGUCUGCUGCUGGGAGAACUCAAACUGAGACACCACAGAGACAGUUCAGAUAUGAGUCCCUGUCCAAAUCUCAUGUUGAAUUGUAAUCCCCAGUAUUGGAGGUAGGGCCUGGUGCAGGUGAUUCAGUCAAAGGGGUGGAUGCAGGUGAUUAAGUCAAAGGGGUGGAUGCAGGUGAUUAAGUCAAAGGGGUGGAUGCAGGUGAUUAAGUCAAAGGGGUGGAUGCAGGUGAUUCAGUCAAAGGGGUGAAUUUCUCAUGAGUGGUUUAGCGCCAUCCCCUUGGUGCCAUCACUACUCGUGAUAGUGAGUGACUUCUUGCAAGAUCUGGCUAUUUAAAAGUGUGUGGCACCUCGCUCUCUCACUCUUGCUCCUGCUUUCACCAUGUGGCAUGCCUGCUCUGCCUUAGCCUUCUACCAUGAAGCUUCCUGAAACUUCUCUAGAAACCUAGCAGACAUUAGCACCAUGCUUCCUAUGAAGCCCGCAGAAGCAAUUAAACCUCUUUGUAAAUUACCCAGUCUCAGGUAUUUCUAUAUAGCAAUGCAAGAACAGCCUAACACAACUCCACUUCAGGUUAGCUUGCACUGGGGCAUGAGGAAACAAAGCUCUCUAAAAUAUCAGCCUUACAACCAAAUACAAAGGGCUAGUGACUUCACUCUGCAGAGAGGGGAAGGACAAAGAGUCUUCUACUAAUUAUUUUCUUACAGAGCUGUGACCUUGUUGGGAGGGGUAAUCUGGCCUUGAAUAUUUCCUUGGUUCACUGUUGUGAAAAUAUUAUUCCAGAAGUUUUUCUGGUCAUCGGACUUUCUUAGCCUGGCAUUUAUUCUUGUUUCAAUUUCAUAUGAAAACUUUAGUGUUGGCCAAAGAAUGCUGGACUAUUUAAUUCUAUCAAAGCCUGGUGAAAUCUUUCUUCCUGGUGUUUUGGCUGGCGGAGUUACUUAAUUUGUACAAACCAACAGCAACAGGGCAAAGCACUUUGACAAUAUAAAGGGUUAUGGAAGGAAUAAUUCACAUUAAUCAUCUGAGUUAUGCUUUCAUUUGCUUUAAUGUGGUGGAUUUGGCCAUGGGGGCAGUAGGUCUUAUGACUGCCCCUCAGAAUAAAAGUUUAAAGGAAUGUGUAUUUCUGGAAAAUCACUUUUCUGUAACACACCCAGAGUUCUUUUAAAGAUACUUUAGUUUGCAAAACUUCAAAUGAAGAGCCAUUAUUUACUUUAUAAUCCAAGGCAGAGCCAAUGGGAAACCCUGGGAGAGAAGAAGCUGGAGGAAUCAUACAUGUUUUCAUGGUGGAACUUUGCAACAAAUGUAAUUUAUUUUUUCUUUAAAAUAGUUCUUAUGGUUUUUCCCACAUUGUUACAUGGGCAAUUUUCAUCUCUGGUGUUCCUAAGGAGUCAGAUCACAAAACAGCAUAAUGCUUAACAACAUGAGCUUCAAACUCAGAAAGAUCUGGGUUUGAAUCCUACCACUUGUGUGUGACUUUGGACUGGUUACCUAACCUCUCUAUACCCCUGUAGACUGAAGAUAAUUAUUUUACCCUCCUCAUAUACACAUGAGGUUAGUGAGGGUAUAAAAAAUAAUGCACAACAGUACUUAGCAUGCACUGAAUGUAUUAUGUACUAACUAUUACUAUUUUUUGUUUCUUGAUCUUAGCCAAUGUUCCCUUAACCUGAAUCCCUCUAAUAACUUUUCUAGACACUCAUAACAUCCUCAGCAACUACCAAGCAGUUUCCACUCAAGGCCAGCGUGUCCUCUGCAUGGCUGAUCAUCUGGUGUAAGAUCUAGAGCUACAAAAUCCUGCCCACACCUUCGAGUCUCCUGGGAGCCUGAUCCCAAGCUUCUGUCCCCUUGUCCACCAUGUCAGACACUCUUUAGGAUUAGGUGACUAGGGUGGGACUUGGUCAAGUCUGGUGUUAUGAUCUCUAAAGGCCACUAAAAAGCUAACUGGCCACCUACAAGGGAUUUGAGGGCUUGCCUCAACCUUUUCGCCUUAGUGAAGGCAAGGUAAUUAGGUGACACAAUGAGCAGAGGCCUGGAGCACGGAGAGGCAAGAAAAGUAAACUUCAGUAGGGGAUACUGAGGGUACAUCAGAACCCCAAGACGUCCAAGGCAACCAGGGCACACAGGGAAAAGACGAGGGUAGGCCGUGGUCAGAGCUGUCCAGAUGAAGUCCAGAAGUGAGAUGGCCACCAGAGAUGAGUAUGAACUUUGACAUCCUCAACAGUCAACCCAGAUGACCCAGGAGCUCAAAGUAACAACCACAAAAAUAGUAACACAUUCUACUGGUCUUUUGCUUUAUCUCUGAUACGGUUUGGCUGUGUCCCCACCCAAAUCUUAUCUUGAACUGUAGCUCCCAUAAUUCCCAUGUGUCAUAGGAGGGACCUGGUGGGAGGUAAUUGAGUCAUGGAGCAGGUCUUUUCUGUGCUGUUCUCAUGAUAAUAAAUAAGUCUCACGAGAUCUGAUGGUUUUAAAAGGGCAGUUCCCCUGCACAUGCUCUUGCCUGCCACCAUGUAAGACAUUGGCUUUGCUCCUCAUUUGCCUUCCACCAUGACUGUGAGGCCUCCCCAGCCAUGUGGAACUGUGAGUCAAUCAAACUUCCUUUUUUUUUUUGAGAUGGAGUUUCGCUCCUGUUGCCCAGGCUGGAGUGCAAUGGCAAGAUCGCGGCUCACUGCAACCUCCGCCUCCCAGGUUCAAGCGAUUCUUCUGUCUCAGUCUCCCGAGUAGCUGGGAUUACAGGCAUGCACCACCAUGCCCAGCUAAUUUUGUAUUUUUAGUAGAGACAGAGUUUCUCCAUGUUGGUCAGGCUGGUCUCGAACUCCCGACCUCAGGUGAUCCGCCUGCCUCGGCCUCCCAAAGUGCUAGGAUUACAGGCGUGAGCCACCGCACCUGGCCAAACUUCUUUCCUUUGUAAGUUACCCAGUCUCAGGCAUGUCUUUAUUGACAGAGUGAGAACAAACUAAUAUAAUCUCCAUAUCUGGUAGAGUGCUAAGCAGUGGCUGCUUCAUGUAAUAGUCACCAACAUCCAUGUGUGUUUCUGGGGCAGAAGUGCCAAGGCAGAGCCCGCAGUCAGCAGUGGGAGAUCUGGGAAGAAGUCUCCACCUCAGCCCUUCCAUUCACAAGCUGAGCGACAAGGGCAAACCACACAGCCUCCUGAAUCUCAAUAGAUUCACUCUGCUGGGCAGUGGGGAGAGCCAAAUGAGGCAGGGCACAUGAGCUGCUCUGUAAACUUUACAGGGUCGUGCGAAUAAUAUGUGACUCAACUUACUGUGCUUAACCCAGGGUCUGGCACCUGUAGUAAGGUGUUAAUAUUGAAGUUUCCACAGACACAAUGAAACACAAUAGUGUGAAAUUCCAAAGCCAGAUCUCUCAUGCAAAAAUUAUAAGGAAAAUUGUGAGGAACUGGUUUCAUAACUUCUAAGUCCCCUCUUACCUACUCUGGGAAUACAAAAAGAGAGAGAGAGAAUGAGAGAAUUUUGAACAUGUGUGUGAGUAUGUCUGAUGUAUUCAUUUUUCAGAGAAAGCUGUGGUCAUGUCAUGAGGCUUCCCACUCCACCCAUGGGAAAGAGGUAGGGAGUGCCGUCUUUGCCUCAGAUUUAGCAAGGAGGCUUCCACGGGAUCACUCAGAAAACUGUGAAACGCAUUGCCUGCAUUUGAAAGUGUGGGAGGAAAGAUCAGUGUCUUACUGUGCAACUGACAGAGAUAAAAUGGCCAUGGUUUCAAGGUUGAGGGGGUGGGGCUGGGUGGAGGUGGGCCCUGCAGGAGAGAGGAACAGAGUGGGAUUUGCUUGGGUUCAUCUCAACAGGGGCCCCAGGAGCUGAGGGGAGAUGCUGGAUCUCUAGGGGCUGUGGAAGAGCCCUCAACUGACUCCUGGAAGCGAGAAGCAUCUGUUAGGAUGAAGGGAACACCCAGUGAAGGGCCAACAGGAGACCUUCAAGGAGCCCCCAGAUGCUCCCUAAGAAAAAUGAUCAGCUCCAAACACCUGCCAUACCAAGAAAAAACAGAUCUAGUUCUAUUCACAAUCAAGCAGAUUUUUCCUGCUCCUACAUCUCCAUUCUCCCUCUGCAGCUACCCCUGACAGUCAGCAACUGUCCACCACGUUGGGCUCUGUACAGACUGAUGGUUCUGUAUUGUGAAUAUACUCUCCCCAGAGACACUGUUCAACUGCAGAAAUCUGCCCCUGUGCCUUUAGAAUUCACCAGCAUCCUGGGGUGAAAGAGAUCCAAGGGAAGUUUUACCUUUCUCUCUGCCUCUUGGCAGGCAACCUGGAACAAGUCUUGAUGCAUGAUCCCAAACCAGACUAGCUACAUAAUCUGUGGGGCCUAAGGUAAGAUGAAAAGGUAGGGACCCUUGUUUAGAAAUUAUUAAGAAUUUUAAGACAGCAAUAACAGAACAUUAAACCAAGAGUAGGGCCCUUCUAAGUGUGGAGUCCUAUGUAAACUGCACAGGUCAGGGGCCCACGAAGCUGGCCCUGACCCCAAAUUAUCUCUUCCAUUAGUAAGCACUUAUAGAGGAGUCCGGAAUGUGGCUGCCUUUGAGGGAGAUCUUCCUUAAACUGCACCCUUCACAGUGAAUUAAACAAGCAUCAGCCAGCAGUUCUCUUCUACCUCCUUCAAGCAGGAAACUAAGGCAAUGGGAGCUGACUAGUGGCCGUUGUAACAGGGGAAUUCUAUGAAUGCAAGAAAGUCUCAGCCCAGCAAUGUGGCCAUGGGUCCCAGAGGAAAAAAUUCCUUGGCAGGUAGUCUUCAUGUGAGAGCUCGGGACGGCUGGAACAUUUAUUUACCUGCAAUCAUGAGAACUGAAGAGUGACUCUCAGCUCACAAUAGCAUGGGCUGGUCCUGAGCUGUUCAGGAUUUUGUGGGCUGGGUGGUGUAAAUCCUGGCCAGAUUCUCCUGGGAGGCAGCCAUACCCCCCGUGGGCAGGAAAACCUCCUGAGAGACUAAACAGGGCAAGCUUUUAAAAAAACAAAAUAAUUAGUAGAAGGAAGAGUGAGCACUUUCAAGGGGUCCCCUUCGGGGUCCUCACGCCUUUAACCACCCCUCCCUUCUUGGCUCACUGGUGAGUGUCAGCCCAGCGGGGACACAAAGAGAUCCCAGCUACAUAUCAGCAGCUCGCAAAGCAGAAGAAAGGCUCUGGUGUCCGGGCUUACUCCUGUUCCUUCAUCGUCUUAGAAAUAGGGACUUGGAGGCAAACAGUCCCAUUACAAUGACGAAGACUACUCUCAACAUGAUGCACCCAAAUGAAUGCAUUUACCAGUUUGAUGUCUGCCUUUCUUCCUGGUUUAUGUUUCAAUGUAUUUGUUGAAUAAAUGAAUGAAUUUAAAAGGGAGAAGUGAAUGGAAAUUUUGUAGAGAUUUGUCAGGGCUCCUUAAAAGGCCUGGCUCUAUCUCCACUUGUCUUAGGUUGCAUUCCGUAGAAGCAGAUCCUGAUAAGAUGAUGAAGUGCACAUGUCUCUUGAGAAAAUGCUCUCAGGAGAAGGGGGGAAGGUAAGCCAGGUGCAGCAGAGGACUGAGCAAGGUUGGGGUCUCAGCUGGACACUUCUUGGACCUGUUCCCACGGGAGCUCUGGAGUAUGAACUGUACCACAGAAUUGUCUCACCUAGAGGGAGAAGCUUACUGCUGUUUUCAUGGCUCUGCAUGCCCGGGGAAAGAGGAAGGCCACAGGAAGGUGACAGCUGAGGCAGGGUAUAACAGCAGGUCCCCAGGGUGGGUCAUUCACUGGGCUGACAAUCCAGUUGAUGCUUGCUUGGGUUGGGGCUCUGUGCUAAUUUGGAUGCUGACAGCCAGGUGACAGCAGCAGAGGGAAAGUAAGCUGAGAAGCAGAGAGGGGGAACCUUGAAAUGAUGCCUCUAAACGAUGGUUGACUUGUUUGUGACAUCACACCCCUAAGGCAUAGCUCUUUCCCCUGGGAGGGAUGCUGAGUGGCAAGUAGGCAGGCUGGGUACAUUUCCUUUUGGGAUGUGGUAGCGACAGUGUCCUACAGAGUCAGACUGGUGGCUUUAACAUCACAGGGCUUUGUCCAGCUGGAUCCGGAUAUCCAUUUGUCUAGAUUCCAUUUUCUCUGCUUCCUUUUUUAUUCCAGUAGAUAUAGCAGGCUUUCUCCCUGUAGCCAUGCAGAAGAGAUACAACUCAGAGGUGAUUCCUCUCAAAGGACAUAUUAGAUUCUUGAAGAGAGUCUAACAGGUUUAAGUGGGUCAGAUGCCAUGACUCAACAGCUUCCCCUUGAUCCUUUAAUCUCACAUCUGAAGCAUAAGACCUAUCCAGGUUACUUGGGGCAGCACCACCAUUGUACCAUUAAGGCUUCUCUUUCAGAAGGAUGAAUAAUCCAUCUGCAGCACUAUUUUACACUCUAGUUCAAUUCAAGACUCUGAAUAUGAUUUAUAAGUGUGAGUGAUUAUUUUAAGAUCAACCAGGGUUAAGCCAGGGAAAUUCUGUCCUCUGGUAGGGAGCCUCAAUGACCAGACCACUGUAAAGCCCCAGGAAUGCCAAGAACUCUGAAGAAGAAAGAUUCACCUCUAAGUGAGUUGGAGGAGGCAAAGACAAAAAACAAAAAACAAACAGUACAGGCCUUAGACUAAGGAGUGUGGGAAUGAGUUUCACCUCCAUUUCCAGCAACUGCCACGCAUAGAGUCUCUUCCAAAAAUGCCGGUGGCCUCAAAGAAGAGACAGCUGCUUCCCCAGCCCCUCAUUCAUCACCUGCUUGCUGGCCUAGGACUGAUAAGACAGAUCCAGAUCAAAUUACCUGGCAGCUGGGAGAGCAAGGAGAUAAGGAAAGGCAAGCUUAGGAGAAGUUCAGUAGAGUAGCAAAGAUCAAAUUGUGUAUUAAAUUUUCCAGGAACUAAAACCUUGCUCCCUCUGCAAACCCAGGGGAGGCACCUCCAAUCAGUCAGCACCAAACAGUGUUCCCAGGAGAAAAGCAAUGCCUUCAGCUUCUACUAGGAAUUAAGAAAACAGAGUACUGAGACCAAUUUAUUAUCACGCAGUUGGAUGAUAGGAAAAUGAAAACAAAGGUUAGAGGUGAACAUUAUAGAGGAGCCGAGUGGCCAAUGGCCAGAGAAACUUCAGGCAACAGAAGGAACACUGGGCUGAGCAAAAGACUUGGAUUCUUGUUCUAGCUCCAUCUCUCUCCCUUUGAAAAUGCACUUGAACCCCUCUGGGCUUUAUUUUUUUUUAUUUAUUUAUUUAUUUAUUUAUUUAUUUAUUUAUUUAUUUAUUUAUAAAAUGGUGGGGUGAGGAUUUCUUCAAGCUAAGAUCUUCCUGGCUUGAAGCUCUUAAAAUUUCUUGUUACUGCAGUCUUCCUAAGACAUUCCAUCUGAUGGUUUAUUCUUUUGACUCUGCCAUUUUACUCAACUAAACCUCAAAAUUCUUGACUAUGGAAGCCUCCAGAGGUGUUGUUAAAGCUUUAACUCUUUCAUUAAAAGCCAUGUGACUUGCUUUAUCCAAUGGGAGGUUAGUAGAUGUGACACAAACAAAUGCUCGAAAGAGUACUUGCAUGUUUCCAUUUACGUUUCUGUUCUUGCCUUCUGUCAUCACCAUGACAACAUGCCCAGUCUGGCUCCUGGAGGAUGGGACACACAACGUGGGAACCGGCAAGUCACCAGAGUCAUCUCAGCCAAGAUCAACCAAUAGUCAAUUACCAGGAACGUGAGAGAAUUCUGAGACCAGGACUGCUCAGCCACCUCUGCCUAAAAUACCAACACACAGAACAGUAAAGUGAAUGGAUGUUUAUUAUCCUAAGCCACUAUAUUUUGAGAUUGUACCUCAUGCAGCACUAUUAUGACCAUAGGUGACUGAUAUAAAAAGUAAGGAAUUAUGAAUCAUAAGAAAAAGAUGAACCAAGGAAAGAAUCAGCUUUGAAGAGGUGGUAAACUAUGGGAGUUGGGUAUGCUUUUCUGCAAUGAUCUUGUCUUAUUUUCUUUUUUUUUAAAGGAAGGCCUACCUGAAUAAUUCUGUGCAGGAAGAUAAAAGCAAGAUUAGAGUGAGACCUAUUCAGGGAGGUGUCAUUUUGUGAGCAGUUCAUGACCAUACCCAAUAAUCAGGGUCUGUCUACAUAUCUGAAUUUUAAUCCUUACAUAUAUGGCCUUAGAUGAACUAAAAUAAUUAUAAGAAGUUGUGUCAUUGUAGACUUCUAUUAAUAAACAUAUACCUACAUAUAUACAUGUUUAUGCACAAGAAUCAGCCUGUAUAGGCAUAUUUACCUAGGCAUAUUCAUUGCAUAGUGCUCUCAUGGUUGUGACUUGGGUGGGUGUAGCAAAGUGACAGGCCAGGAUCUCACCACAUAGGAAGAACUUUGGUCUGGCCAAGACAGGGCCAGCUAGUGGCCUCCCUGCCAUUAGCUCUGUCUGCCACCCAAGACAGAAGAAGCCAACAGUCCAAAGGGACAUAGCAGCUUCAUUUUGGUUCUAGUUAGUGGUGCCAUAGAAGAGGAACAGGCAGAUAGGAUCUCAUCUAGGCCAUGAGACAAGCAAGAGUUCUCAAGAAGGGUAGACUCUUAGAAACAGGAGGCCAGUGAGACAUGGAUCUAAGAGGCAUAGCCAGGUAGAAGCAGCCCUAGUCAAUGGCUAGAAGUAUAAUAUCCCAAUAAAAGAGGCAUUCUUAGAAAGCUGGGCAGCAUCUCAGGACCAC